AAGAAGGAGCGGCGGAGAGCAAUGGGAAAGAGCGAGCGGUAAGACUGCUCGGUCGUCCCUGCCUCCGGCUCCCUCUUACAGGUGUGGGCAAGGACGUACAGGGCCUGCUCCACCUGGAAGCCUUCUGCGGGAGGGCUGCUCUGGCCUGUGGCCUAGGCACCUUCCCGCGGUAACCUGCAAAGGAAACCAAGUUCCAGUUCAUGGAGCGUUGUUAUCGCGUGGCUCCCUACGGUCUGCCGGGGAGUCAACGUUAACAGCGCG
rnacentral:rRNA from 1 species